CCCUACACGUCUAUACUCAAGUAGUCCCGCCUCUUCGUCUGUGCCAUAAGAGAAGCUUGUGUCAGUGGCUGACGUUGUUUACCAAAACUGAAGAAUUACGUCUGGAAAUCUUUCGGCUUUGGCUGCAGAAGCGUCGAAUUUGAUCAGCGGAUUGUUCGUAAAUUCCCGUAAAAAAUUAUUUUAUUUUCUUUUAUUUUGAUGAUGAGUGGAAGGCGAUAUUUGCUUCUGAGAGGAGAAAGUGAAAGAUGUGUGUCCCUGUUUAUGAAAGAUAACGGAUGUACGCGCAAUCACGCCAUAUUCAGUGUAUCUACUUGUAGUUAGUCACACCCAAACACACAUCUACACUCAUUAUCUUUCAUAUACAUCAGACAGUUUUUGCUCCAUUCUAGCAAAAACUGUCUGAUGAACGGCAACGAGAAACUCAGAGUAACAGAUUUUGUUGAAUUUUCUGCUGCUUUAAAUAAAGCAUAUUACUCUACCACUGGUAUUUGAGUACUCUUUUUUCCACCUUGUUUCACAUUUAUGUGUUUACUCCGGUAUAUAUAUAUAUAUAUAUAUAUAUAUAUAUAUAUAUAUAUAUAAAUUUUAGGGUAGCAAAAAAUUCUAGAAAAAAAUUCUCCGCUACCAGCAGUCAAGUGAGAGAGAAAACAUAGUCAAUAGACUCUGUAAUAUACAUUCAGGCAUAUAAGGAAUGGUCAUAAUAGGACAUCCGACUCACUAGAAAGAGCAGUUAAACUCCAAACCACUAAUAGUUGUAAUUCUGAAAUGGAAAGAGAAAUAAAAGGGUAAACGUUUUGGCGAUCUUUCGUCUCUAGUAGACCUUUCCGUCGAUUUCCGUAAAAAAAAUUUUUUUUUUACAUAUGGGCUUGCGGGAACUUUUGAAGUAAUAUACAUACAUAUACACAUACACCGAGUACAAAAUUUCAGUUAUCUCUUUCUUUCACACAUUACUCUCUCUGUCUCUUCACACACACUAACAGAAGCACUUCACUUACACGACAUACUGUCUGUCUCACACACCCCAUCAAACACACACACACAUGUACAUCAAUGCUUCGGUAACUUCAAAAGAACUUCCCUCGUCAUACAAUCGCUUUCUCUUAGUCUCUUUCGCUCUCAUUACUUCAAAAGUUCCCGCAAGCCCAUAUGUAAAAAAAAAUUUUUUACGGAAAUCGACGGAAAGGUCUACUAGAGAUGAAAGAUCGCCAAAACGUUUACCCUUUUAUCUCUCUUUCCAUUUCAGAAUUACAACUAUUAGUGGUUUGGAGUUUAACUGCUCUUUCUAGUGAGUCGGAUGUCCUAUUAUGGCCAUGCCUUAUAUGUUUGCAAUUAUAUAUAUAUAUAAAACUUAGAACUUAGAUAGAUGUUUCGACCAAGGAUUGGUCCAGGCCAUGUCUAACUUAAUAGCACCACCUGAUAGGAUUAUCUAAAUCCUGUUUGAGUCAAGUUUUGUUCAAGUAGUGAGUUCUUGUUGGGUGAGUUGUAUCCAAUUAUGGGUGGCUUAUCUGGUAUUCUUUGAAGGAAUCUAUCCAGACUCCGUUUAAAGUUGAUGGGAUCCUUUUCCUCUUUGAUCUCCCUCGGGACAAUGUUAAAUAGGGCAGGGCCUGUUGAGGAAAAGAAAUUAUGUUGCAGUGUAUAUAUAUAUAUAUAUAUAUAUAUAUUAAUUUAUCUCCCUCAUUAUUUAUAUAUAUAUAUAUCGACUACUUACUUGGACGAUGAAACCGUCCAGCACGCUUUUGUACAUUGUCGGCAGCUGUCAAGCUUCAUAAGUUACGCAGAAUACGUGUUAUCGCAUCUGGGACGAGUACAGCUGUCGGCUGAGUCUAUAAUUAAGAUGAUACCUAUUUAGUCUAUAAUUAAGAUGAUACCUAUUUAGUCUAUAAUUAAGAUGAUACCUAUUUAGUCUAUAAUUAAGAUGAUACCUAUUUAGUCUAUAAUUAAGAUGAUACCUAUUUAGUCUAUAAUUAAGAUGAUACCUAUUUAGUCUAUAAUUAAGAUGAUAUCUAUUUCUUUAUUACCCACAAGGGGCUAAACAUAGAGGGGACAAACAAGAACAGACAUAGGUAUUAAGUCGAUUACAUCGACUCCAGUGCGUAACUGGUACUUAAUUUAUCGACCCCGAAAGGAUGAUAGGCAGGCACUAGUCGUGAAGACUGGACCCUGUACGCGCAUCCGCGCUAGCUAGUCGCCAAAAAAUUAUUUACUUUGUUCGACAUAAAAGGUCAGAAGUCUAAACACUUCAGCAUCAUAAAUUUCCCAGAACUAAAUAAUACCACUUGACAUUUGAACUGUACCUACUUAAUAUAGAGUGUAGAAUUCACGUACGCAUGCUUUUAUGUAUGUAUGCAUGCACACACACACACAUACACACAUUGUGUACGCUCAACCUUAAGGCUAACUUUCCACUAAAAUUUCCUUCUAAAAAUUCUUGUGGCCAAAUAUUAUGUUAUCUAUUCUCUUUUACUCUUUUACUUCUUUCAGUCAUUUGACUGAGGCCAUGCUGGAGCACCGCCUUCAGUUGAGCAAAUCGACCCCUGGACUUAUUCUUCGUAAGCACAGUACUUAUUCUAUCGGUCUCUUUUGCUGAACCACUAAGUUACAGGAACAUAAACACACCAGCAUCGGUUGUCAAUCUAUGUUGGGGGGACAAACACAGACACACAAACAUACACAUAUAUAUAUAUAUAUAUAUGACAGGCUUCUUUCAGUUUCCGUCUACCAAAUCCACUCACAAGGCUUUGGUCAACAUGGGGCCACUUGCCCAAGGUGUCACACAGUGGGACUGAACCCGGAACCAUGUGGUUGGUAAACAAGCUACUUACCACACAGCCACUCCUACACCUACAUAUAUACGACAGGCUUCUUUCAGUUUCCGUCUACCAAAUCCACUCACAAGGCUUUGAUCGGCCCGAGGCCAUAGUAGAAGACACUUGCCCAAGGUGCCACGCAGUGGGACUGAACCCGGAACCAUGUGGCUGGUAAACAAGUUACUUACCACACAGCCACCCCUGCACCUAUUCGUGUAUGUAGUUUUAAUUUAGAAUGGAUCGCUUGAAAUAAUUAAGAAUAAGACUGUUAAUUAGCUUAUUUUAAUUAAGUAAUGUAAACGUUUUAUAAAAUAUAUUUAUGGUAUUUCAUUAUCGUUAUUUCAAUCAGUCAUCAUCAUUAAUUUUAACAGCUUGAAAUAAUUAAGAAUAAGAUUGUUAAUUAGGUUUAUUUUGCAGCUUAUUUCUUUAAGCGAUUUAGGAUGGCUGUGUGGUAAGAAGCUUGCAUUCCAGCCACAUUGGUUCGGUCACACUGCGUGGCGCUUAGAUCAGGUGUUUGCUACUAAAACCAUGGGGCACUCAAAGCCUUGUGAGUGGAUUUGGUAGAAAGAAAAUGAAAGAAGCCUGUCACGAGUAUAUGUGUGUAUAUACAUAUAUAUAUAGAUAUAUACAAAAUAAGAAAAAUCAAAAUCAAAAAUCAAAAUCGAUCAACAUGAAUGGCAAUUGUAGCUGUGAUACCAGUGCCGGUGGCACAUAAGAGAACCAUCCGAACGUGGCUGUUGCCAGCGCCGUCCCGACUGGCCUCUGUGCUGGUGGCACGUAAAAAGCACCAUCCGAUCGUGGCCGUUUGCCAGCCUCGCCUGGCCUCCGUGCCAGUGGCAUGCCAGAUCGUGGCCGUUUGCCAGCCGCACUUCGCCUCCGUGCCCUCCGUGCCAGUGGCACGUAAAAAGCACCCACUACACUCACAGAGUGGUUGGCGUUGGGAAGGGCAUCCAGCUGUAGAAACAUUGCCAGAUCAGACUGGGCCUGGUGCAGCCUUCUGGCUUCCCAGACCCCAGUUGCACCGUCCAACCCAUGCCAGCAUGGAAAGCGGACGCUAAAUGAUGAUGAUGAUGAGGAGGAGGAAUAGAUUCCUUAGAAUCAUCAUCUUACAGAUAAUACCAAUUCAUAUAAUUUAUUAACUAAUUAAAUAGGAACAUCCAAAUCCAACAGAGUAAAACAGAAUAAAACAAUAUACAUCAAUGAGAUUAUACCAUAAAAAUAAUACAUAUAAAAUGGAUCUUACAGCUGUUUCAGCCUGUAGAUAAGGGUAUCUCAUUAUGCCCAUAUUAGUCAGAUGUAUUGAGGUAAUAUGCAGUUAAAAAUGAGUUACUUAUAUAUAUAUAUCUCAAGGCCUAGGCUGAAACAGCUUUAAGAUCCAUUUUAUGUGUAUUAUUUUUAUGGUAUUAUCUUACUUAUAGAUGUAUAUUGUUUUAUUCUGUCUUAUUCUGUUGGAUUUGGAUGUUCCUAUUUAAUUAGUUAAUAAAUUAUAUGAAUUGGUAUUAUCUGGAAGUUGAUGAUUGAAAGAAAUCUAUUCCUCCAUUUUCUUAUUUUGUAUUAUGAAUUUCAGGUAAAACAUUUUACCUUCGCCCAUAUAAUACAAUAAAUGAAUUGCAUUGCAAUUCUUAGCAUUUUCUGGGUACUUUACUGGCAGUAUAUUGGAUAAAUGAUAUCCCAUAGUGGGUUACACUCAUAACCCCUAUCUCACUCUGUACUAUAUCUUUAUAUAUAAAAGAGAGGUUGUGUGCUGUCUGUCUCCUAUGAUUUAGAUUCCUAACUACUCCCACAUUUUGCGGUGCAGUUUAACCAAAACCGGGUAUCUUAUAGUCAUGAUUCAUAUCAAGCCCUUCUGGGUAUUAGCACGCGUCCACGAUUUAAAAAAAAAUUUACCAUCAUUUUUUUCCAUUUUAAUGCAUUUUUUUCGCUAUUAUAUAAGGGAAGUAACUCUCUAAAAAUGUCUACGAUGAGUCAACGAUUUAAAAAAAAAUUUACCAUCAUUUUUUUUCCAUUUUUAAUGCAUUUUUUGGCUAUUUUUUUGGCUAUAACUCUCUAAAAAUGCUUAUAUAGUUAUUUCCCUUACAAACCCGAGCAACGCCAGGCGAUACUGCUAGUAUAUAUAUAUAUAUAUUUACACGAUAGGCUCUUUUCAGUUUCUAUGUGUGUGUGUGUGUUUAUCUUUGGUCUCUGUUUAAUCAUCCUGUCCCCACUUGUCAGCAGGUGUUGAUGUGAUAAGGUCCCCCUAAUUUAGUGUUUCGGCAAAAAGAUAUCAAUACAAUUAGUUCUAGGCUUAAAAAUAAGUCCUGGGGUCAAUUUGUUUGACUAAAUCGCUUUGAGAUGACGCUCCAGCAUGGCCACAGUCAAAUUGCUGAAAGACGUAAAGGCAUAUCUACACAAGUUGUGGUGCACCUGAGCACUGUAUACAAUAAUUUCAUUAUAUUUAAGUGCACCCCCCCCCCAUGUCCAUACACCUUUCUUUCCUCAUAUCGUCCAGAAAAAUGAAUAUUCUUUUAAAGGAAAUUUGCAACAAAUAUGCUUCAGAUGUUGUAGAUUACAAUUAUAUUGAAAUCUAUUCUAAAAAAAAAAAAAAAAUUGAUGGGCACAGGAGUGGCUGUGUGGUAAGUAGCUUGCUUACUAACCACAUGGUUCCGGGUUCAGUCCCACUGCAUGGCAUCUUGGGCAAGUGUCUUCUGCUAUAGCCUCGGGCCGACCAAUGCCUUGUGAGUGGAUUUGGUAGACGGAAACUGAAAGAAGCCUGUCGUAUAUAUGUGUGUGUUUGUGUGUCUGUGUUUGUCCCCCUAGCAUUGCUUGACAACCGAUGCUGGUGUGUUUACAUCCCCGUAACUUAGCAGUUCGGCAAAAGAGACCGAUAGAAUAAGUACUGGGCUUACAAAGAAUAACUCCUGGGGUCGAUUUGCUUGAUUAAAGGCGGUGCUCCAGCAUGGUCGCAGUCAAAUGACUGAAACAAGUAAAAGAGUAAAAAGAGUAAACCUAGCGGUUCGGCAUAAGAGACCGAUAGAAUAAGUACUGGGCUUACAAAGAAUAAGUCCUGGGGUUGAUUUGCUCGAUUAAAGGCGGUGCUCCAGCAUGGCCGCAGUCAAAUGACUGAAACAAGCAAAAGAGAAAGAGAUGGGUUUGCACACACACACACACACACAUACUGACAGAUAACAUUUUUCUAUCAAAAUUUCAAGUUUCAAUUCACGAUGUGUAUGUAAUUAAGUAUGUGUGUGAGCCCACAAAUUUUGUUUACAUAUUAAAUUCUGGUAUAAUCGUCACCUUCACAAUCCGAAUAAUAUUUGUAGAAAAUUCCACUAAAGAAAUAUCCAUUUUUCCAAAAAUUAUGAGGAAAUAAAACCAACUGAUGUGAAUUUUCCAAAACUUUUCACCCAACCCUCGGAAAACUUUUUCACAACAAAUUCCAAUACAUCCAUUAAUAUCCAUUUGUCAGAAAGUUAUGAGUAAAGAAAGGUUUGUGAUUUAAGGGAGAUCUGCCUGUUGUUUCUAACACAUCCCACAACCACCUUUCUUGUUUCUUCCUCACUCUAACAUGUAUUCAUGUUUUUCAAUAUUUUUGUCCCCAUCAAAGCAUUUAUGCUGUUAAAACAAAUUGGUUUUAAAAUUUGAUUUUUGGUAGAAUUCUGGUUUAAGAACCCCAUAUAACCCCUCAUAACCUUUUUUAACUUUUUGGAAUAAAAAAAAAAAAUUCAGUACAUUUUCAGUAAAAUAUUCAAAACUAAAGUUUUUCAAUUUUAUAUUUCAGCUUAUGUAGAGAAACUAAGUUCCUUUUGUUGCUUGUAUUUCCCAGUUGAUUCUUGAAAAUUUCCAUUGCAUCAAGCCAUAUGUACAAGG
rnacentral:lncRNA from 1 species